UGAAAACAGCAGGCAGGGAGGUCAACACCCUACAGGCAGCCUGUGAUGUUAAUAUAGUUGAAAACAGCAGACAGGGAGGUCAACACCCUACAGGCAGCCUGUGCUGUUAAUAUAGUUGAAAACAGCAGGCAGGGAGGUCAACAACCUACAGGCAGCCUGUGAUGUUAAUAUAGUUGAAAACAGCAGGCAGGGAGGUCAACACCCUACAGGCAGCCUGUGAUGUUAAUAUAGUUGAAAACAGCAGGCAGGGAGGUCAACACCCUACAGGCAGCCUGUGAUGUUAAUAUAGUUGAAAACAGCAGGCAGGGAGGUCAACACCCUACAGGCAGCCUGUGCUGUUAAUAUAGUUGAAAACAGCAGGCAGGGAGGUCAACACCCUACAGGCAGCCUGUGAUGUUAAUAUAGUUGAAAACAGCAGGCAGGGAGGUCAACACCCUACAGGCAGCCUGUGAUGUUAAUAUAGUUGAAAACAGCAGGCAGGGAGGUCAACACCCUACAGGCAGCCUGUGCUGUUAAUAUAGUUGAAAACAGCAGACAGGGAGGUCAACACCCUACAGGCAGCCUGUGCUGUUAAUAUAGUUGAAAACAGC